rnacentral:rRNA from 1 species
UACAGGGGGUGCAAACGUUGCUCGGAAUCCUUGGGCGUAAAGCGCACGUAGGCGGUUCGUUAUGUCGGAUGUGAAAGCCCUUGGCUUAACCGAGGAAGUGCAUCCGAAACUGGCGAGCUAGAGUACGAAAGAGGAUCGCGGAAUUCCCGGUGUAGAGGUGAAAUUCGUAGAUAUCGGGAGGAACACCGGUGGCGAAGGCGGCGAUCUGGGUCGAUACUGACGCUGAGGUGCGAAAGCGUGGGGAGCGAACAGG